rnacentral:rRNA from 1 species
GGACGACGCUGGCGGCGUGCUUAACACAUGCAAGUCGAACGAGACGAUUUAAGCUUGCUUAGAUGAGUCGAGUGGCAAACGGGUGAGUAACGCGUAGACAACCUGCCGCAAAGAUGGGGACAACAGUCCGAAAGGACUGCUAAUACCGAAUGUUGUCAAGUUUCCGCAUGGGAGCUUGAUUAAAGAUGGCCUCUACUUGUAAGCUAUCGCUUUGCGAUGGGUCUGCGUCUGAUUAGCUAGUUGGUGGGGUAACGGCCUACCAAGGCGACGAUCAGUAGCCGGUCUGAGAGGAUGAACGGCCACAUUGGAACUGAGACACGGUCCAGACUCCUACGGGAGGCAGCAGUGGGGAAUCUUCCGCAAUGGGCGAAAGCCUGACGGAGCAACGCCGCGUGAGUGAAAAGAAGGGUUUCGGCUCGUAAAGCUCUGUUGACGGGGACGAAUGUGCGAAAUGCGAAUAGUUUUUCGCAAUGACGGUACCCGUCGAGGAAGCCACGGCUAACUACGUGCCAGCAGCAGC